UACGGAAGGGGCGAGCGUUGUUCGGAAUCAUUGGGCGUAAAGGGCGCGUAGGUGGUUCUGUAUGUCUACCGUGAAAGCGUACGGCUCAACCGUAUUUUGUCGGUAGAAACUGCAGGACUUGAGGCUGGGAGGGGCUGGUGGAAUUCCCAGUGUAGCGGUGAAAUGCGCAGAUAUCAGGAGGAACACCGAUGGCGAAGGCAGGUCUCUGGGCCAUAACUGACGCUGAGAAGCGAAAGCAUGGGGGAGCGAACAGG
rnacentral:rRNA from 1 species